GACGAACGCUGGCGGCGUGCCUAAUACAUGCAAGUCGAGCGCAGGAAACUGACGGAACUCUUCGGAGGGAAGGCAGCGGAAUGAGCGGCGGACGGGUAAGUAACACGUAAGGAACCUGCCUCAAGGAUUGGGAUAACUCCGAGAAAUCGGAGCUAAUACCGGAUAGUUCAUCGGACCGCAUGGUCCGUUGAUGAAAGGCGCUCCGGCGUCACCUUGAGAUGGCCUUGCGGUGCAUCCGCUAGUUGGUGGGGUAACGGCCCACCAAGGCGACGAUGCAUAGCCGACCUGAGAGGGUGAUCGGCCACACUGGGACUGAGACACGGCCCAGACUCCUACGGGAGGCAGCAGUAGGGAAUCUUCCACAAUGGACGAAAGUCUGAUGGAGCAACGCCGCGUGAGUGAUGAAGGUUUUCGGAUCGUAAAACUCUGUUGUAAGGGAAGAACACGUACGAGAGGGAAUGCUCGUACCUUGACGGUACCUUACGAGAAAGCCACGGCUAACUACGUGCCAGCCGCCGCGGUAA
rnacentral:rRNA from 1 species